rnacentral:rRNA from 1 species
GACGAACGCUGGCGGCGUGCUUAACACAUGCAAGUCGAACGGAAAGGCCCUGCUUUUGUGGGGUGCUCGAGUGGCGAACGGGUGAGUAACACGUGAGUAACCUGCCCUUGACUUUGGGAUAACUUCAGGAAACUGGGGCUAAUACCGGAUAUGAGCUCCUGCUGCAUGGUGGGGGUUGGAAAGUUUCGGCGGUUGGGGAUGGACUCGCGGCUUAUCAGCUUGUUGGUGGGGUAGUGGCUUACCAAGGCUUUGACGGGUAGCCGGCCUGAGAGGGUGACCGGCCACAUUGGGACUGAGAUACGGCCCAGACUCCUACGGGAGGCAGCAGUGGGGAAUAUUGCACAAUGGGCGGAAGCCUGAGGCAGCAACGCCGCGUGCGGGAUAACGGCCUUCGGGUUGUAAACCGCUUUCGCCUGUGACGAAGCGUGAGUGACGGUAAUGGGUAAAGAAGCACCGGCUAACUACGUG